UAGGGUGCUCGAGUGAUGACAUCCAUGUGGACUAGAGUUUCUGAUGCUGCCUCUUCAGCAGUGUGUUUGAAGACAAACCCUUGGCUGUCUGAGCUCCCAG
rnacentral:snoRNA from 1 species